rnacentral:rRNA from 1 species
AGCGAACAUUGGCGGUAGGCUUAACGCAUGCAAGUCGAGCGAGGCGUAAUAGUCGAGCGGCGAACGGGUGAGUAAUACAUGGAAAUCUACCCUGAAGUGGGGGAUAACGUCCAGAAAUGGACGCUAAUACCGCAUAAUCCAUAUUGGGAAAGCGUUGCAGCGCUUUAGGAUGAGUCCAUGGCUGAUUAGCUUGUUGGUGAGGUAACGGCUCACCAAGGCGACGAUCAGUAGCUGGUCUGAGAGGAUGACCAGCCACACUGGAACUGAGACACGGUCCAGACUCCUACGGGAGGCAGCAGUGGGGAAUCUUGCGCAAUGGGGGCAACCCUGACGCAGCCAUACCGCGUGAGUGAUGAAGGUCUUCGGAUUGUAAAGCUCUUUCGGCGGGGACGACGAUGACGGUACCCGCAAAAGAAGUCACGGCUAACUUCGUGCCAGCAGCCGCCGUAA